UCACUUGGGGAUGAAGGAGUGAGCUGACCUGGAAUCACCUGACACUCCGCAGCACGGACAAAAUCAUAAGCUCCAGUUGUAUAAGCCAGCCCUGGGAUCACCUGUGCUUUGAGAGAAGGCUGGAAUGGCAUUGGAUAACUUGUAAGGGGAUGGAGCCCCCAAAGGUUUCUUUUCAUUUGGGACAAAGGAGACGCUGGCCAUGUGUACCCUGUGAGAGAAGACUCAGAAGAAGCGGUCUUGAGGAGCUCUUCCUCCAUGGGUAUGAUCCAAGGCAUCGAGAUUACUAAUAGGAAUUUCCGCCAGUCCACAAACUCCAAGUUUACUAUUAAUAAAGAUGUUAACUCCUGCAAC